rnacentral:rRNA from 1 species
GAUGAACGCUGGCGGCAUGCCUAACACAUGCAAGUCGAACGAACGCUUCGGCCUUAGUGUCGCCCGGGUGCGUAACGCGUGGGAAUCUUCCCCUUUGUUCGGACUAACAAUUAGAAAUGACUGCUAAUACCGGAUGAUGACUUAAGUCCAAAGAUUUAUCGCCGCGGAUUGAUCCAGCGUAGAAUUAGCUAGUUGGUUUGGUAAGAGCGCACCAAGGCGAGGAUCCUUAACUGGUCUGAGAGGAUGAUCAGCAACACUGGGACGGAGAAACGGCCCAGACUCCUACGGGAGGCAGCAGUGGGGAAUAGUGGACAAUGGGCGAAAGCAUGAUCCAGUAAUGCCGGGUGAGUGAUGAAGGCCGUAGGGUUGAAAAGCUCUUUUACCUGGGAUGAUAAUGACAGUACCUGGAGAAUAAGCUACGGCUAACUCCGUG